UCAGACGAUGCGUCAUGCAUAUCAAUAAGCGGAGGAAAAGAAACUAACAAGGAUUCCCUUAGUAACGGCGAGUGAAGCGGGAAGAGCUCAAAUUUGAAAUCUUCAAGGGUUUACCUUUACGAAUUGUAGUUUAAAGAAGUGUUUUCUGUUAGAGUUUUGGUAAAAGUUCUUUGGAAUAGGACAUCAUAGAGGGUGAGAAUCCCGUAUUUGACCAGUUAUUUCUAGCUUUGUGAUACACUUUCAAAGAGUCGGAUUGUUUGGGAAUGCAGUCCAAAAUGGGUGGUAAAUUUCAUCUAAAGCUAAAUAUUGGCGAGAGACCGAUAGCGAACAAGUACCGUGAGGGGAAAGAUGAAAAGAACUUUGAAAAGAGAGUUAAACAGUACGUGAAAUUGUCAAAAGGGAAGCGUUUGACACCAGUGUUGUUUUCUCGAAAAUCAAUUAAAAAGAGUUAGAUUUUGUUGUGUAUUGACCUUAACAGCUUGCAUUUCAAUUUUCUUGCUUUUUUUAAUGCACUUUUCGUUUAACAAGUCAACAUCAGUUUCUUUUGUUGUAAAAAGGUCAUUGGAAGGUGGCUUUCUUUUCGGAGAAAGUGUUUAUAGCCUUUGACUCCUGCAAUCGGAGAGACUGAGGUCUGCAGCGUAGAUCCUUCGGGGUUAGAUACAUUUGUGCUAAGUUAUAGCUUUUUAUAGACAACUUGUUGACUAUGAUUAGUCUUGUAGCUUACUCGCUUAUGCUAUUUUACCUACGCUUAGGAUGUUGAGUCGUAGAGCACGCA
rnacentral:rRNA from 1 species